rnacentral:lncRNA from 1 species
ACUCAAGGCUAAGCCUUACGGUCCUGCCGCUUUCUCGAUCAACUAACCGAACUCUUGAAGACAAGGAAAGGGACUGAUUCACAAAGGAGUCCGGCACCGACCCGGAUAGAUGAUGCCCUAUCGCACUCCCUUCGAUCCGCUAUCAAUCCGCUUGAUCAAACAAACGAAAACAGUCAAGUGAUGCUUCUCUUUUAUUGUAAUCUUUUAGCAGGGAGCUUGGGAUGGGCCCAAGUAAAGGCCAGCUAGUGUCCUAUAGCGCGCUCCCUUUCUUUUGGUAUCUUUCGCUUGGAACCUAAUCCGCGAAAUGGAUACAAAAAAGGUGGCAAGUUUUUUCUCAAUCG